rfam:Oryza barthii chromosome 3, whole genome shotgun sequence.
AAAAAGUCAAAUUAUGGGUUUUCAUAUUCAAUUUUAACUGUCCAUCUUAUAUGAAUUUUUUUUAUAAUUCGUAUUUUCAUUGUUGUUAGAUGAUAAAACAUGAUUAAUAUUUUAUGCGUGACUUGUUUUUUUAAUUUUUUUCAUAAUUUUUCAAAUAAGACGGACAGUCAAACGUUGGACACGGAAACCUGAGUUUAUC